GUGGCGAUAGCGAAGAGGUCACACCCGUUCCCAUACCGAACACGGAAGUUAAGCUCUUCAGCGCCGAUGGUAGUCGGGGGUUUCCCCCUGUGAGAGUAGGACGCCGCCAAGC
rnacentral:rRNA from 3 species